AUCCUUUUCUGGUUGAUAAGCAAAAUGAUUGGGAGUUUACAUGCUUGUGUGACAUGUACUUCCCUUAAAUCUUGUUAUUCAGGUCUUUAAUCCAUUUUGAUC